AGCCAGGAUUUCCGGGUGUUCUGAGUCCAUCCUCAGGACAGAACACAGACCUCUCACCAUGGAGUUUGGGCCCAGCUGGAUUUUCCUUGUUGCUAUUUUAAGAGGUGUCCAGUGUGAUGUGCAGCUGGUGGAGUCUGGGGGAGGCUUGGUGAAGCCCGGGGGUUCCCUCAAACUCUCCUGCCUGGGUUCUGGAUUCACCUUCAGUAACUACGCAAUGGAUUGGGUCCGCCAGGCCCCAGGGAAGGGGCUGGAGUGGGUCUCAGCAAUUAGUAGUGACAGUAGCUACACAUACUACACCAACUCUGUGAAAGGCCGAUUCACCAUCUCCAGAGACAAUGGCAAGAACACACUCUACCUGCAAAUGAACAACCUGAGAGCUGAGGACACAGCCAUGUAUUACUGUGCGAGAGACACAGUGAGAAGAAGUCAUUGUGAGCCCUGACACAAACCUUCCUGAAGGAGACAAGAGG